CGUGAAACGCCCCUGCGCCCAUGGUACUUCGUCUUAAGACGCGGGAGAGUAGGUCGCUGCCAGGUCUGCCAAACGCAACUCAGUUGAUAAAAUCUUCUCAAUCACAAGCCAACG
rnacentral:rRNA from 1 species